UACGAAGGGGGCUAGCGUUGUUCGGAAUCACUGGGCGUAAAGCGCACGCAGGCGGAUCGAUAAGUCGGGGGUGAAAGCCCGGGGCUCAACCUCGGAAUUGCCUUUGAUACUGUCGGUCUCGAGUCCGGGAGAGGUGAGUGGAAUUCCUAGUGUAGAGGGGAAAUUCGUAGAUAUUAGGAAGAACACCAGUGGCGAAGGCGGAUCACUGGCCCGGUACUGACGCUCAGGUGCGAAAGCGUGGGGAGCAAACAGG
rnacentral:rRNA from 1 species